UACGAAGGGGGCUAGCGUUGUUCGGAAUUACUGGGCGUAAAGGGCGCGUAGGCGGCUUGACAAGUCACUUGUGAAAUCUCCGGGCUUAACUCGGAACGGCCAAGUGAAACUGUCAUGCUAGAGUGCAGAAGGGGCAAUCGGAAUUCUUGGUGUAGCGGUGAAAUGCGUAGAUAUCAAGAGGAACACCUGAGGUGAAGACGGGUUGCUGGGCUGACACUGACGCUGAGGCGCGAAAGCCAGGGGAGCAAACGGG
rnacentral:rRNA from 1 species